rnacentral:rRNA from 1 species
AGGGUUCGAUUCUGGCUCAGGAUGAACGCUAGCUACAGGCUUAACACAUGCAAGUCGAGGGGCAGCAUGAAGUUUGCUUGCAAACUUGAUGGCGACCGGCGCACGGGUGAGUAACGCGUAUCCAACCUUCCCCAUAGUAGGGGAUAGCCCGGAGAAAUCCGGAUUAAUACCCUAUGUUCUUCGUCGAGGACAUCUGAAAUGAAGCAAAGGUUCACCGCUAUGGGAUGGGGAUGCGUCUGAUUAGGCAGUCGGCGGGGUAACGGCCCACCGAGCCGACGAUCAGUAGGGGUUCUGAGAGGAAGGUCCCCCACAUUGGAACUGAGACACGGUCCAAACUCCUACGGGAGGCAGCAGUGAGGAAUAUUGGUCAAUGGCCGAGAGGCUGAACCAGCCAAGUAGCGUGCAGGACGACGGCCCUAUGGGUUGUAAACUGCUUUUAUGCGGGGAUAAAGUUCACUACGUGUAGUGUUUUGCAGGUACCGCAUGAAUAAGGACCGGCUAAUUCCGUGCCAGCAGCCGC